UACGAAGGGGGCUAGCGUUGUUCGGAAUUACUGGGCGUAAAGCGCGCGUAGGCGGAUUUGGUAAGUCGGGGGUGAAAUCCCGGGGCUCAACCUCGGAACUGCCUUCGAUACUGCAAAUCUCGAGUCCGGAAGAGGUGAGUGGAAUUCCGAGUGUAGAGGUGAAAUUCGUAGAUAUUCGGAGGAACACCAGUGGCGAAGGCGGCUCACUGGUCCGGUACUGACGCUGAGGUGCGAAAGCGUGGGGAGCAAACAGG
rnacentral:rRNA from 1 species